rnacentral:lncRNA from 1 species
UUUGUAACAACUGAAAAAAAAAAAAAAGGAACUUGGAAAUUAUUUAAUUUAGGCAAGAUAUAUGAACCAGCACAGAAACUGCACUACUCAGUCUGUCAUAGUCACCAACUGCACUUCUCUUCCAAAACAUUUGGAAAACAAGUCUUCGGGUCAGCCAUGGCUUCACUGAACUUGGCUCAAGAUUUCAGACCAGCUUCAGAUCUACUCUAUUUGGUUCAUUAUACUCCUUGAACCAGCCACCAACUAAGCCACAUUCUUCUAAUUAUACAUCGCAAGACCACAACAAGUGUUUUGAUCAUUUUACUGAUCUAAUGCAAAUCACCUUGAGUGUCAUUGCUUUUUACACCUCAGAGUGAAUCAAGACUCUGACAAGUGGUCCUGAAAUGGAUGACAAAAGCAAGAGUUGAAGAGAUAUGAGUACUUGGAGGUAGGUUUGAUCUGACUGUGCCAAAGGAGGAACAGGAAGUAAAUUUGGGACCUCUAAAAACUCUUUUCUCUUGCUUUACAAGAAUUCCCUUGCUUAAAAAAAAUGCAGUUAGACUUUUCAAUGGAUGCAACUUAAAAAAAAAAAAAAAACCUGAAAGAUAGCCUGCAAAAAAAUAAUAAAU